ACACAAAUGUUUCACAGCUGAAGCCUUUCAUACGCCCUACAUUGAGAGAGUCCAAAGUGCCAGAAGUUUUAAUUUCUCAGGGAGAUGACUUCCAAGCUGAACAGGAGCCCAUUUCUGGCCCACUGGUGCCACAGCAGUCAGUAUGUGACCAUGACUACUGGCCUUCUCUGGGAUAUUUG